GAUGAACGCUGGCGAGAUGCCUUACACAUGCAAGUCGUACGGGGAUUUUUAAUUCAAGUGGCGGACGGGUGAGUAACACGUAAGAAUUUGCCUUUAGGAGGGGGACGAACAACUGGAAACGGUUGCUAAUACCCCACUAUGCUUUCGAGUGAAAUGGAUUUUUCCGUCCUAAAGAGAAGCUUGCGGCUGAUUAGCUUGUUGGUGAGGUAAUGGCUCACCAAGGCGACGAUCAGUAUCUGGUUUGUAGAGGAUGAUCAGACACACUGGAACUGAGACACGGUCCAGACUCCUACGGGAGGCAGCAGUGGGGGAAUUUUCCGCAAUGGGCGAAAGCCUGACGGAGCAAUACCGCGUGAGGGAAGAAUGCCUAUGGGUUGUAAACCUCUUUUUUCUAGGGAGGAAUAAAAUAGACGUGUACCUGAAGAAUAAGCAUCGGC
rnacentral:rRNA from 1 species